rnacentral:lncRNA from 1 species
AAAGCAGUGAUCUCCCCAUACCAAUCUUUCCCAGCCUAUCAUGGUGCCUGGGGGUCCAGUGAGCACCAGAGAAGUUCAUCGUCCAUCAGGAGAGGAGGAGGAUCAGUGACUGUAUCAUGGCUUCUGGCCCAGACCAACACUCCACUAACACAAACUUGUGGAUGCCUAUGCAGACACCACGGGAGGCCAGAUGGUAGGUGCCUGGCACAGGAGUAGGUGCCCCGGGAGGGCAUGUGCAGCUACUGUAAAUAGCCCUUGUCCCCACCCAGGAUGCCAACCAAGUCAACGAAGCCUCAUCUUUUUCACGGAGACAAAGGCUUCCAGGAGCCACAAAACCCUUCCCAGCAGGACAGCUUGUGAAGGCAGGAGCCUGCCCGGAAGACACAGACUAUCUCCGUUCAAACCACUCUAGGGGGACCGUUUUGCCCGGGGCUCCUAGCAAACUUUUUAUUUAUUAGAUUUAUUUAUUUUUUAUUUAUUUAUUAUUUAUGUGAUGAGCUCUCUUUCCUCACCAUUAGCGGC